rnacentral:rRNA from 1 species
AGCUCCAAUAGCGUAUAUUAAAGUUGUUGCAGUUAAAAAGCUCGUAGUUGAACUUCAGGCCUGGCGGGGUGGUCCGCCUCACGGUGUGUACUGCCCGGCUGGGCCUUACCUCUUGGUGAGCCCGUAUGCCGUUUACUCGGUGUGCGGGGGAACCAGGAAUUUUACUUUGAAAAAAUUAGAGUGUUCAAAGCAGGCAUAUGCCCGAAUACAUUAGCAUGGAAUAAUAGAAUAGGACGUGCGGUUCUAUUU